GUGCUUGCUUUGGCAGCACAUGUACUAAAAUUGGAACAAUAGAGAGAAGAUUAGCAUGGCUCCUGCGCAAGGAUGACACGCAAAUUUGUGAAGCGUUUCAUCUUUAA
rnacentral:snRNA from 1 species